rnacentral:lncRNA from 1 species
GUCUCCCUAAGAAAAAGAAUGACAAAUGUUAUGGCACUGUCUAAAAGCACUUAAAGAAUCCAGAGGAAGAAUGUUCCAAAAAUCCGCAGCAAGACGAAAUAUUUGGGGUGUGAUGUGUGACAAUCAAGAGCCUUAAAAGAAGUGUUUAGUCUUCAGUACACACUUGAUAUGAGGCAACCAAAAAAAAUACUUGAUCUACCAACAACAUAUGUUGAGCAAACCUACGUAUUUUCCCUGUGAACUUACGCUGUGUGACUUCCAUCUCCGGAAAAUAAGAAAACUUUUCAUUACACAUAUUGCCCUCACAGCAACAAAAAUAUACUUCAGGGCUGUCUUUUUUUUCUACACAAUCAGUCCUAUAAAUAAGCAGAGAAAAAAUAAUUAAAAUCAAUAUUAUUAUACUGACCCUACAGCAUGAGUUAAGAGCCCAGCUGGUGGUGAGGAAUGAAGGAGCAGGGAUAGUACUACAGAGGACAAAGAAGAAAAUAAAGUGGCCCUGUCCUAUCACUAAAGCCAAUGCUUUGUCUCAAGAAAUCAGUG